UGGGCAACAGAGUGAGACUCCAUCUUUAUAAAUAAAUAAGUAAAUAAAUAAAUAAAUAAAUAGGACUGGUCUGAUGAGGUGUGACUUGAGCAGAGAGUGGAAUGAAAUCAAAGAUAGCAAGCCACACAGAGAGUGCAGCAGGCAUGGCAGCGGGAGCAAGGCUGGUGUCCCUGAGCAGGAGCAGGGAAGCCGGAGUGGCUGGACUUGUGUGGGUAUGGGGAAGAGGAGAGAGGUCACUCGUCUCUGUGAGGCCCGGGACUUUGUUUUAUCCCCUGCUGUACCCCAACACUUAGAGUGGGAGCUAGCACAGAGAAGGCACUCAAUUGAUGUUUGCUGAGCAGAUGAAUGCCUGGAGUAGACCUCAGAGCAGGGUUUGGUGGCAGGGUGGGUCAGGAGAGAGUUCACUCAACAGCCUGGUGAUAGGGGAGAACAAGUGGCCAGAGGGCAUCCAUCUAUGAUGGGGACCAGGGGUCCCUGCUGGACAGAAGUGUGGGAGACACGGAUCCUGGCCAUACCUCAGCCUUCCCUCCAGCCUAAUUACCUGCCUCCCUCCCUUUCAGAGGUUCCGGUUCUGUGGUGAUCUGGACUGUCCCGACUGGGUCCUGGCAGAGAUCAGCAGCUGGCUAAGAUGGUUGAGUGCACAGGGUCUAGUCUGGGUGGAGGAGGGGCGUUGGGUCUGGGGAUUGUGGGUGUAGAUGAUGGUGAGUUUUCUCUGGGGUUAGGGCCUCAGUGCUCUCAGCCUGUGCUACCAUGCUUUGUGACCGUGAUCAGUGGCUGGCCUGCUCUGAGCCAGUCCCCAGGAAGGAGGGGUGAGGUUCGCCAGCCUGGCUGAUGUAAGGACUUCCCUUCCAGUCCUCUGUGAAGUUGCAGCUGCUCUGCAGCCAGGUACUAAAGAGCUGCUGGGACGGGGGAAUGAUGAUCCAGGCUAGGGGUGAGGGGCUGGUGAAUAGAGUACUGGCAGCCUCUGAAGGUCUCCUUUCCUCAUAGUAUUAGAAGAUCCUGAAGCUCAUGGCCAAGUUUGGUCCCUCAGAGUCAGGCGAUGUGAAGGCCACAGUGGCAGUGCUGUUUCAUCCUCUCCAGUGCGGCCAAGCACAGUGUCGAUGGUGGAUGCUUGUCCAGUGAACUGCAGCAGCUGGGGCUGCCCAAAGGAACUGAGUCCUGGAGGAGGUGCAGGUGGAGCCAUCGAGGCAGCACUGCAGCUGGACCUGGUCUGAGUCGCUGCUCCUGGCUGUGAGAUGUGUGUCUCCCUCUGUUUAUUCAUCUGAAGGACAGGGCUGUGCUCUUCUGGGGUCACUGUGACAAUGCAGCUGGCCUGUGUGAGUUGGUGGUGGCCUCCUGAGAUGGUUUGAGGCCUCAUAAAAGCCUGAAACAGCCUGGCUUGUAGUGGGCCAGGAGACCAAAACUUGAAGACAGAGUGGCAGAGUGAAGACAGAGAGACCACCUAGUCAGCCUCAGCCCCAGGACUGUGUCCAUGCUGGUCCUGGCUCCAGUGAGCCAGUUGUUUCCUGAGACGCCUAAGUACAGAGGAAUCUGGUGCCAGCCGCAGUCAACCCUGAUGUGAUGAUCUGUCCAACAAUCUUCUUUGAUGUCUUGGUGCUGGCUGCUGUCUUUGGCCAGGUCAUGGGUUCAAAGACCAUUCCUGGAUUCCACCACCGCCAAGCGUCAAUGGGCACAGGAGCUGCUGGGGCUUUCUGGGUUAAGACCCUUGCCUAUCCCUGUGUCCCCCCCUGCAGUAGGGGGGCUGCAGGGGUCAGCCUCAGUCUCUGCCCUGGGAGCCUGCUUUACCUUGGCCUGUGCCCCACACCUGCCCUGGAAGACCCCCCACACCCUCUGGCUCUGAUCCACUGUAGAGCAGCCAGGGCACCCAUUGCUCAUACCCUCUGGCCUGAGGCUGACUGGCUCUGUGGCUGGGUUCAGGGGUUCAGGCAGGGGGGUGGGCCUUCCCUUAGCAGCCCCCAUUCCCACUCCGACCCCUUUUUAGUCUUCCUCCUCUUGUGGGCUGUACCCUGGGGCCCUCCCAGCUCCUCAUACCAGAUGCCUGUCUAAGUAUCUAGAAAUCAAUAUUUUAAAUACCAACUUUGGAUUGCUUCCUGACUUUUCCAUACCCCCAAAGGGCCAUCAUUUCUCUUAGGACUGACAGUCCCUCCAGCCCUACUGGGCCAGACUAGGCAGGUGUAAGGGUGCCCUGUCCCAGCCCUCUUUGGGGCGGGCUUCUGUCCCCUUCCUGCUGCCUGGAAGCAGGACCACACUUUGGUGGCAGGAGGGACAGCAGAGAUUGUGGACCCCCGAGCUGUGCCUAAGUCCUCUGUGUGGUCUAGCUGUAUUGGCCAUCAUUUACCACUCUGUAAAGAAGACCGAUACCUGUGGCAUGGAGGGCGUGAGGCUGGUGUGAGUGCCAAGCUCUUGGAGCAGGGCCCCGAGUGAGCGUGGACGUGGGAACAGGGGUGUUCCUCGACUUCACGAACCUUGGGGAUGGGAGUGGAGUUCCCUGUGUGGGUUGACAAGGCAUUGCUUUCCCCCACCCCACCUCUGCCCCAGCCCUGCAAGUCCAGUCCUUGGGGGUGUAGGAGGGAAGAAGUCCCUGGCUGUGUGACCUUGGGCUGGACCCUGGCCCUCUCUGGCUCUGAGUUCCUGGGAAAGUCAGUGGUGUUGGAACUGGGGGACCUAAGGCAGGUAAUCUCUUCCAGCCUCCUGCCCUCAACCCCAGACAGUGCUUCAGGGUUGAGGCACUGUCUGUGGAAGCCGUGGGACAAGGUGAAGGUGGGGAGAGGAGAGGCUUGGAGUUUGGGUUUCAGCAGAGGGAUCAGCAGCGUGAGGGGUCACCUGUGUGUAGAGGAAAGGGAGUGAAGGCCAGGAGUGAGGAAUGAGUCUGAGUGCACCCAGGAUGGUGCUGUGUCUCCUCCCACAUCCACCUAGCCCUGGUCAAGGGAGAAGAAAGGCCAUGAGACAAAGGGGAAACUGAGUUGGGUCCACACAUGUCCUUCCAGGACCUGGAGGUGCCACUGUCUGGCCCUUAUGCAGUGGGAAGUGGGGGAAGGAAGAUUCCCUCCCCACACCUCCUGUUCUCUGUCCCAAGUCUCCUGGCCCCCUGUGCACCUAAGUUCAGUCUCUGUCGGCCCCCAGCAUCAUUUCUAGGGUUGGUGGGAGGCAACUGGGAACAGGUUAGGGGUAGGUGGGGCCUGCUUGGGGGAGUCUGCUUGACUGCCUGAGCCACUUUCCACAGUAGUGGGGAGCUUUUCUGGCACAUUGACUGCACCACCAAGGCACUGCCGACAGUAGCCCCCUGGGAGUGUUUGCAGAAGGCCCUGGCAGGGGUGGUGAUGGAUCCCACCCAGAACAAAAGCAGGGUCGGGGGUCAGGGAGAACCACUUACCUGUCUGGAGAGGGUCCUCUGUGCUGCACUGUGCGCGUCUACGCUCCCAGGCUGAACACCCCAUGGGAGGCCCUCCACUUCAGCACCUUGACAAGAAGGGCAGGGACAGUGGGAUCAGGCCCAGCUCCCUGACCCCAAACCCUGCAGCCCCAGCUGGAGGGUGAGGAGAUGCUGGGCUUGGGUGAGGGAAUCAGGGGUGUAAAGGGGCCUGCUUACCCCUCAGCUUAGCUCGAGUGCUCAAGGCAUCAAAGGCUCAGCCUGACCCUCAGGAAGGAGUCUGGGCCCAGCCAGACACUCACUAGGACAAGGGCAAAUGUGACAAGCAGGAGGCCUAGAAUGAGAAGAGCCACAGCAUAGCCAGGGAUGGAGGCGUCCAGCAGGUUGGGGCUAGGAGUGCCUAGAGCAGACAAAGAAGGCUAUGGCCAGGCGGGGGCCCUGCCUCCCAGACUUCUGAGAAGGCAGAAUCUGGGCCCAGAAGUUGCUGUGGGACCAGGGAGCUGGGGCUAGGAGCAUCUUGGAGGGCUCCAUGAGGAAGGGAGGCAGGUUUCAGAUUAGGGCAUGUGGAGGCAGCGAGCCCAAGGGAGGAGGCCAAUGGACAGACGGAGGAGGCUUGCAGAGGGAAGGAGUUACUGACCGAGGUCUGGGAUGACCAUCUCUACCAAGAGGCCCUCUGUCUCCCCCAGGGUGUGCAGGUGUGCAGACCCUGACACACACAGUCCCACACAAGAGCCUGAGCUGGCACCGCGCUGAAGAAGGUGGCACCCACUCUGGCGGUCAGUGGGUCCAGCCUGGUGGGAGGAUUAUCACAGACUUCAGGGGUCUGGGCAGCCUGGGGGGCCUAAGGGUGGUCAUCUCUUCCAGCCUCCUGCCCUCAACCCCAGAACCCAGGUCUGAGCCCUGGGUCACCCAGGGCCACCCCAGACCCACUGCAAUUCCUCCACCACCACUUGGUCAAAGUUCGGCAGAGGUCUGAGGACGAGGGUCAGCUGGGGUGUCAGGAGAGGAUGGAGAGGGUCACAGCUCUACCAGAGCCUUGUCCAGUCAUCCCCCAUCUUCCUGAGGCCCCUUCCCCGAUCCCCCCACUUCACCCAUCUGGUCAGCUCCCCUGAAGUGCCCAGAACUCAGGGCUGGUUUUGUCCUCCAAGGCCUUGGUGUAGGGCUGGCCCAGGAUCUGCAGCCAAACUUCAUACAGCACCAGCUCUGCCUCCUCUCCUAGAGCGAUGGGGGUGGAGGCGGCAUCAGCCUGCUCUCCCUCUCCUGGAAGCCCUGGGGUGGGGCGCGCACCCAAGCUCUAAUACUCCAUCCAGGGGUCAGCCACUGCUGGUCUAACGGUCAAAUUUCUUGCUGCCUGUUUUUAUGUGGCCCAUGAGCAAAGAAUGGGUUUUAUAUGUUUAAAUGGUAGAAAACAUGGAAAGUAGAAUAGUAUCUUGUGACACAUGAGAAGUACGUGACAAGCAAACUUCCAUGUCCAUAAAGAAAGUUUCCCGGGAAUGUGGCCACACUCAAUUGUUGACAUCUUGCCUAGGGCUGAUUUCUUGCUACAGGGGAGGGUUUGAGUAGGUGGUGACUAAAAGCCAGUGGUCUGCAGAGCCUUAAAGAGUUUCCUUCUGGCCCUGUACAGAAAACGCUUGCUAACCCCUGCGCUGAUCCAUCUAAUGGAAUACACUGCUCACUCCGAGAGUUAAUCCUAGUAGGAAAUGUUGCUGGUAAUUUAAUAGAUGCUGCUUUUAUGUUUUAUUUUGUCCAUAUUCACUCCCUGGGAGGAGGUCAUGUUGGGGCUUGUGGCCAUCAAAGGUGAAGCCUCUUUAAGAGGAUGCUUGGGGAGCUCUACCAUCUGCUGAGAGGGUUGUGAUGGGCCCUCUGUGUUGUGGAAUGAAGAGGGAACACUGCCUGUCUGCCGGGAGCUGGCCUUCUGGGGAGCAGAAGAGAUGGUGGUUCGGACCUGUUGAGGUGGAGGCCCAAACCAAUCUGGUCUCUGGGGCGGCCGACAGGGAGAGUAGUUGUGUAGGAGUGGGUGUGAGGGCAGAGCCCGAAGGAGGGCACCCCUGACUGUACCCCCAGGAGGCUGCGGUGGUGGGUGUGGGGCAGCACUGUAGGAGGACCAGCACCUUCUGUGACUGAGGGGUCCUUGGAGAGCAGCUUCAGGCUGUGUGUGGCUGGAGGGGACUGAUUUGCCCUGCGCUCUCCUAACUUGGGCGUGGACCAGCUCUCCCUGUUUGGAUGGCACGAGCUGGGAGAAGUCAUCCUAUCAGGAGGCCCCAAGAGGAGAUAUGGGUUUCUUACAGCCCCGGUACUGGGACAGAGCUGAGGGUUUUUGCUCCUGACUUGGUGGGACAGAUCUUGGCAUGCAUGUGAGGACUCAGUGAGGUCCUGGGCAAUCAGGGAGGUGACGGGACCCUCUCAUUCCUCUGAUCUUGACUGCUUCUGGCCUCUGUCCAGCUCCUUGCUAAAGCUCUAUGCCCCAUUCCUCUCUAUGGACCCAACAGAUGAGCAAGUAUUGUCUGAAGGAAAUUCUGCCCAUUCUGUAGAAGGGGAACAUUGAGGUUUACAGAGGGGAAGAGCCUGCUGGCCCAGAGACACACAGGGAUUGCAGCCCUACUAAAAAUAUACAAAUUAGCCAGUGUGGUGGCACAUGCUUGUAA